AUUGAACGCUGGCGGAAUGCUUUACACAUGCAAGUCGAACGGCAGCACGGGGGCAACCCUGGUGGCGAGUGGCGAACGGGUGAGUAAUACAUCGGAACGUGCCCGGUCGUGGGGGAUAACGUAGCGAAAGUUACGCUAAUACCGCAUACGAUCUGAGGAUGAAAGCGGGGGACCUUCGGGCCUCGCGCGAUCGGAGCGGCCGAUGUCAGAUUAGGUAGUUGGUGGGGUAAAGGCCUACCAGGCCGACGAUCGGUAGCUGGUCUGAGAGGACGACCAGCCACACUGGGACUGAGACACGGCCCAGACUCCUACGGGAGGCAGCAGUGGGGAAUUUUGGACAAUGGGCGCAAGCCUGAUCCAGCCAUUCCGCGUGCAGGACGAAGGCCUUCGGGUUGUAAACUGCUUUUGUAUGGAACGAAAAGGCUCUGGCUAAUACCUGGGGCUCAUGACGGUACCGUAAGAAUAAGCACCGGCUAACUACGUG
rnacentral:rRNA from 1 species